rnacentral:rRNA from 1 species
AUAAACUCUUAGAGAAAUUAAGUAAUAAACGAAGGCGAAUUGAAAUAUCUUAGUAGCUUCAGGAAAAGAAAUCAAACGAGAUUCUACGAUUAGUGUGAAUGAAAGUAGACUAGCCUAUAUACAAUCCCUUCGGGGAAUAAGUAAGUAUAUUAAUAAGUAAAAUGGACGAAAACCUGUUUGAAUAUUAAGGGGAACCUUCCUCUAAGGCUAAAUAUAAUACAUAAGCGACAGAGAAAAGUACCGUGAGGGAACGGGAGUUGAAAUAGUAGUUUUAUAAGCAGCUCAAGCUAGUAAAAAAGUAAGAGCGUACCUUUUGCAUAAUGGGUCACCAAGUUAACAUUAGAUGCGAGCGGUAAAACACGCGUAGUUAAAACGAUGAUCAAUCAAAUGAAUUAGUGUCUAAAGUUAGACCCGAAGCUAGGUGAUCUUACCACAAUCAGGAUUAUAAAAGUCCGAACCGGUUAUUGUAGCAAAAAUAUCGGAAGAAUUGUGGUAAGUAUAGUGAAAGACAAAACUGACCUAGAUAGCUGGUUUUCUGCGAAACCUAUAAUAGUAGGCAAUUUAAGUAACAUCUUAGCAGGUACAGAACUUCAUCUCAGACAAGGUGUAAUAAAUUUUAUUGUAGGUUUUCUUAUAGUAAAAUUCACAUCUUACUUUGUACAUAUCGGGGGAUCGUAAAGAUUUUAUCGGUGAGUUUGUAGACUCGAAAUGGCAAAGAUGAAUCUUGAAUUAUCAGACAUAGAAUGAUAAGGUUGUAUUGUAUGUCAAAAGGGAAACAGCCCAGAACAAGAGUUAAGGUUCCGAAAUUAUUAUUAAGUGAAAUUAAGAAAGUCUUUAUUUAAGUCGACAAGGAGAUGGGCUUAGAAGCAGCCAUAAUUCAAAGACCUCGUAACAGAGCGCUUGUUAAUUUUUAAAGGCAUCGAAAAUUUAACGGAUCUAAAUAAUGUACCGAUACCUUGUCCAUAUUUGAAUAUAAUAGAUGUAAUAUUAUAUUCAUUUACUGGGGUAGCAGAACAUUGAGUUAAGAUGGAAGAAGCAUGAAAUAUUGUUGUACGACUGUUUAAUUAAAACAAAGCACUUUGCAUAACGACUUAAGUCUAAGUAUAGAGUGUGAUUUCUGCCCGGUGCCGGCUGGCUAACGAAAAUAACUAACUUUAAAAAGUUUGGUACUGUAGGAACCCCCGGUUAAUGGCGGCCUUAGCGUGAGGGUCCUAAGGUAGCGGAAUACCUUGACUGUUAAAUGCAGUCUUUGCAUGAAUGAUGUAACGAUACAACAGCUGUCUCUAUGAUUGACUCAGUGAAAUUGGCAUAACUGUGCAGAUACAGUUUACCUCUAGUUAGACGAGAAGACCCUAUGCAGCUUUACUGUUACUAAUUAUUAGGUAUGGUUGGGGACAAAUUUCAGUAAAUAAGGUAAUUGAUCAGAUUCAAAUGUAAUACCUUUAUUUGGGGAUCGUAUUGUGAGGGUUAUUUAAUCCCCUUCUUUUCCUAAAAAGAAAAGAAUGUAACCUUAGAAAGGAAAAAUUGCUAGGAGACAGUUUAUGCGGGGCACAGACCCCACAAAGAGUAAAUGGGAGUGUCCAACUAUGUUUUAGGUUAUGUAUAAUACUUACCAAGUUUAAUGGCUAAAUCUUGCUUUACUGUUUGACCACCAACAAGUCUUACAGUCGCGUAAGCGGGGCAUAGGAUCACAAGACACAAAAAGGAAAGGUCUUGGAUUAUUGGAAAAGCUACGCUAGGGAUGUUUGUCCUUCAAUGUUUAGAACAGGCUAAUUUGCGCAAGAGUGUGCAAAAUGAGUGCGCGGUUUGGCACCUCGAUGUCGGCUUAACUUAUCCUCAUGGAUGCAGAAACUAUGUAGGGUACGACUGUUCGUCGAUUAAAAAGUUACAUGAGCUGGGUUAAAUACGUCGUGAGACAGUAUGGUUUCUAUCUUCUAGAGGGAAUUAGAAUAUAAUAAGGAAUAACCUAUGUACGAAAGGAACUUGGUAUAUUAAUUUAUUAAUAUUGAAAUAAUAAAAUUAUUAAUCUCUGGUUUACCUGUUGUUUAUAUGUCU